CCUACGGGAGGCAGCAGUGGGGAAUAUUGGACAAUGGGGGGAACCCUGAUCCAGCCAUGCCGCGUGUGUGAAGAAGGCCCUCGGGUUGUAAAGCACUUUCAGUGAGGAAGAACGCCUGGUGGUUAAUACCCAUCAGGAAAGACAUCACUCACAGAAGAAGCACCGGCUAACUCCGUGCCAGCAGCCGCGGUAAUACGGAGGGUGCGAGCGUUAAUCGGAAUUACUGGGCGUAAAGCGCGCGUAGGUGGCUUGAUAAGCCGGUUGUGAAAGCCCCGGGCUCAACCUGGGAACGGCAUCCGGAACUGUCAAGCUAGAGUGCAGGCGAGGAAGGUAGAAUUCCCGGUGUAGCGGUGAAAUGCGUAGAGAUCGGGAGGAAUACCAGUGGCGAAGGCGGCCUUCUGGACUGACACUGACACUGAGGUGCGAAAGCGUGGGUAGCAAACAGGAUUAGAUACCCCUGUAGUC
rnacentral:rRNA from 1 species